AGCGGCAUGGCGCAGUGGGAGCGCGCCGGACUCAUAACCCGGAGGUCACUUGAUCAAAACAAGUUGUCGUUA
rnacentral:tRNA from 1 species